rnacentral:rRNA from 1 species
ACAUGCAAGUCGAACGCUUCACUUCGGUGAAGAGUGGCGAACGGGUGAGUAAUACAUAAGUAACCUGGCAUCUACAGGGGGAUAACUGAUGGAAACGUCAGCUAAGACCGCAUAGGUGUAGAGAUCGCAUGAACUCUAUAUGAAAAGUGCUACGGGACUGGUAGAUGAUGGACUUAUGGCGCAUUAGCUUGUUGGUAGGGUAACGGCCUACCAAGGCGACGAUGCGUAGCCGACCUGAGAGGGUGACCGGCCACACUGGGACUGAGACACGGCCCAGACUCCUACGGGAGGCAGCAGUAGGGAAUUUUCGGCAAUGGGGGAAACCCUGACCGAGCAACGCCGCGUGAAGGAAGAAGUAAUUCGUUAUGUAAACUUCUGUCAUAGAGGAAGAACGGUGGAUAUAGGGAAUGAUAUCCAAGUGACGGUACUCUAUAAGAAAGCCACGGCUAACUACGUGCCAGCAGCCGCGGUAAUACGUAGGUGGCGAGCGUUAUCCGGAAUUAUUGGGCGUAAAGAGGGAGCAGGCGGCACUAAGGGUCUGUGGUGAAAGAUCGAAGCUUAACUUCGGUAAGCCAUGGAAACCGUAGAGCUAGAGUGUGUGAGAGGAUCGUGGAAUUCCAUGUGUAGCGGUGAAAUGCGUAGAUAUAUGGAGGAACACCAGUGGCGAAGGCGACGAUCUGGCGCAUAACUGACGCUCAGUCCCGAAAGCGUGGGGAGCAAAUAGGAUUAGAUACCCUAGUAGUCCACGCCGUAAACGAUGAGUACUAAGUGUUGGGUGUCAAAGCUCAGUGCUGCAGUUAACGCAAUAAGUACUCCGCCUGAGUAGUACGUUCGCAAGAAUGAAACUCAAAGGAAUUGA